UGGUGAAGUGAUUUGUCUGGUUAAUUCCGAUAACGAACGAGACCGCAGCCUACUAAAUAGCACACGUUUUCUCACGAAAGCGUGUUUCGCUUCUUAGAGGGACUUUCCGUUUCAAGCGGAAGGAAGCUUGCGGCAAUAGCA
rnacentral:rRNA from 1 species